rnacentral:lncRNA from 1 species
ACUGACACUUUUCGGACUCAGCCUGCCUGCACCCAGGUGAUUAAAAGCUUUAUUGCUCACACAAAGCCUGUUUGGUGGUCUCUUCACAUGGAUGCGCAUGAAAUUUGGUGCGGUGACUCGGAUCGGGGGACCUCCCUUGGGAGAUCAAUCCCCUGUCCUCCUGUUCUUUGCUCCGUGAGAAAGAGCCACCUACGACCUCAGGUCCUCAGACCAACCAGGCCAAGAAACAUCUCACCAAUUUCAAAUCCGCCACUCCCAGAGCCCCUGGAACUCUGGCCCAAGGCUCUCUGACUGACUCCUUCCCAGAUCUUCUCGGCUUAGCGGCUGAAGACUGACACUGCUCAAUCACCUUGGAAGCCCCCUAGACCAUCACGGACGCCGAGCUUCAGCAGGAGAAGACAAGGAGAUGGAGAGACUGUCAACCUAGAACCAGUAAUGACCAGUUCCAACUUAAUUACAGAAAGGGAGAAAAGAUCAAUCAUUUAAGUUGCUUCAUCGUCUAAAUAAAAGUGUUUUGGCUGUUGAAACAUG